GAACCUCGGUGCCGCAGCUAACGCAUUAAGCAUUCCACCUGGGGAGUACGAUCGCAAGAUUGAAACUCAAAGGAAUUGACGGGGGCCCGCACAAGCGGUGGAGCAUGUGGUUUAAUUCGAAGCAACGCGAAGAACCUUACCAAAUCUUGACAUCCUUCUGACGGUACCUUAAACGGUACGUUCCUUCGGGACAGAAGAGACAGGUGGUGCAUGGUUGUCGUCAGCUCGUGUCGUGAGAUGUUGGGUUAAGUCCCGCAACGAGCGCAACCCUUAUCUUUAGUAGCCAGCAAGUGAAGUUGGGGACUCUAGAGAGACUGCCGGGGACAACUCGGAGGAAGGUGGGGAUGACGUCAAAUCAUCAUGCCCCUUAUGAUUUGGGCUACACACGUGCUACAAUGGCGGUGACAAAGGGAAGCGAAGUGGUGACAUGGAGCAAACCCCAAAAAAGCCGUCCCAGUUCGGAUUGUAGUCUGCAACUCGACUACAUGAAGUUGGAAUCGCUAGUAAUCGCGAAUCAGAAUGUCGCGGUGAAUACGUUCCCGGGCCUUGUACACACCGCCCGUCACACCACGGGAGUUGGAAGCACCCGAAGCCAGUGACCAAACCGUAAG
rnacentral:rRNA from 1 species